UACGGAGGGUGCAAGCGUUAUCCGGAUUUACUGGGUUUAAAGGGUGCGUAGGUGGGUUGGUGAGUCAGUGGUGAAAUACUUUCGCUUAACGAAGGAACUGCCAUUGAUACUACCAGCCUUGAAUACAGUGGAGGUGGGCGGAAUGCGUCAUGUAGCGGUGAAAUGCUUAGAUAUGACGCAGAACACCAAUUGCGAAGGCAGCUGGCUACACGGAUAUUGACACUGAGGCACGAAAGCGUGGGGAUCAAACAGG
rnacentral:rRNA from 1 species